GCCCUUGUGGCCUAAUGGAUAAGGCGUCGGUUUUCUAAACCGGCGGUUGUGGGUUAGAGUCCCAUCAAGGGUA